rnacentral:tRNA from 1 species
GCGGGGGUGUCCGAGUUAGGUCAAAGGAGACAGGCUUAGGACCUGUUGGCGUAGGCCUGCGUGGGUUCAAGUCCCACCCCCCGCACCA